rnacentral:misc_RNA from 1 species
GAGAGCCGGAUGCGCUAGUCGCGCAUGUCCGGUUCGAUGAGGGGAGUGUGGAAACGGGGACCAUGGCUCGGCCGUUCAGGCACCGCCAGACGAAAGGGGCGGAAACAGAUACGCCGGACCUAACGUCUACCGCGCCACACUCCUACUCUAC